rnacentral:misc_RNA from 1 species
AAGUCGUAACAAGGUCUCCGUAGGUGAACCUGCGGAGGGAUCAUAUUAUGGAUAAUUUUAUGACCAAAGGAGGAGAAUAUGUGUAUGUGUGUGUGUGUGUUUAUAUUUUAUUUGAUUAAAAUGUGAAUAUACAUAUAUACAUAUGUAUAUAUAUAUACUUUUGGAAAUAUAAUUUUAGAUGUGCACUUGUAUUGAAAGCCAAAGAGAUAUAUAUUUGCUAUAAUAUAAAUAUAUAUAAUAUAUGUAUAUAGCAAAAUAUCUUUUUAAACCUAAACUGUGUUUAUAACCAAAUCUAGUUUUAAUAUAUAAUAUAAUUAUAAAAAAAAAACAACUUUUAACAACGGAUCUCUAGGCUCUU